UACGAAGGGGGCUAGCGUUGCUCGGAAUCACUGGGCGUAAAGGGUGCGUAGGCGGCUUGUUAAGUAGGGUGUGAAAUCCCCCGGCUCAACUGGGGAGGGUCUCGCGAUACUGAUCGACUCGAAGGCAGGAGAGGGUAGUGGAAUUCCCGGUGUAGUGGUGAAAUGCGUAGAUAUCGGGAGGAACACCCGUAGCGAAGGCGGCACUCUGGGCCGGAACUGACGCUGAGGAGCGAAAGCGUGGGGAGCAAACAGG
rnacentral:rRNA from 1 species